GAAAGCUAAUUGUAUUAUUUUAUAGUGCGAUAUCAACUACGUUGAAUAAAAUUCUGGGUAAAAUUAUGAUGAUGACAUUGUUUACCCAUGUGUCUUGACCAAAUUACGUGCCAGCAGUCGCGGUAAUACGUAGAAGACUAGUGUUAUUCAUCUUUAAUAGGUUUAAAGGGUACCUAGACGGUAAACCAAGCUCUUGCCACGCAAGACAGGACUAGUUUACUAGAGUUACUUACAAGGAGGCUAUAAAGUACUAAUGGUGUAGAGAUGAAAUUUUGUGAUACCAUUUCUCGAAAGGGAAGUUAUGGCACUGAUAAAGGCGAAAGCAUCCUCUUAUGUGAUAACUGACGUUGAGGGACGAAGGCUUUGGAUCGCGAAUAGGAUUAGAUACCCUAGUAGUCAAAGCAGAAAAUGAUGAGUGUCAUAGAUUAGAAAAGUAAUUUUAUUCUAUAAAUGAAAGUGUAAGCACUCCACCUCAAGAGUAAUUUGGCAACAUUGGAACUGAAAUCAUUAGACCGUUUCUGAAACCAGUAGUGAAGUAUGUUGUUUAAUUUGAUAAUCCGCAAAACACCUUACCACAACUUGAAUAGAGAUAUCAUAUAUAUCUUUACAAGCGUUGCACGGCUGUCUACAGUUAAUGUCGUGAGACUUUGGUUAGAUCCAUUAAAUUAACGCAAGCCCUUACUUUAUUUUUAAAUAGAGUUGUUCCCCGCUAUAUUGGAUAUGAUAACAGGGACUAAGACAAGUCAUCAUGGCCUUAAUGU
rnacentral:rRNA from 1 species